rnacentral:rRNA from 1 species
UGGGGAAUUUUGGACAAUGGGGGCAACCCUGAUCCAGCCAUGCCGCGUGCGGGAAGAAGGCCUUCGGGUUGUAGACCGCUUUUGUCGGGGAAGAAACGGUCUGUGCUAAUACCGCGGACUAAUGACGGUACCCGAAGAAUAAGCACCGGCUAACUACGUGCCAGCAGCCGCGGUAAUACGUAGGGUGCAAGCGUUAAUCGGAAUUACUGGGCGUAAAGCGUGCGCAGGCGGUUAUGCAAGACAGAUGUGAAAUCCCCGGGCUCAACCUGGGAACUGCAUUUGUGACAGCAUAGCUGGGGUGCGGCAGAGGGGGAUGGAAUUCCGCGUGUAGCAGUGAAAUGCGUAGAUAUGCGGAGGAACACCGAUGGCGAAGGCAAUCCCCUGGGCCUGCACUGACGCUCAUGCACGAAAGCGUGGGGAUCAAACA